UACGGAGGGUGCAAGCGUUAUCCGGAUUCACUGGGUUUAAAGGGUGCGUAGGUGGGCAGUUAAGUCAGUGGUGAAAUCUCCGGGCUCAACCCGGAAACUGCCACUGAUACUAUCUGUCUUGAAUAUCGUGGAGGUAAGCGGAAUAUGUCAUGUAGCGGUGAAAUGCUUAGAUAUGACAUAGAACACCAAUUGCGAAGGCAGUUUACUACCCGAAUAUUGACACUGAGGCACGAAAGCGUGGGGAUCAAACAGG
rnacentral:rRNA from 1 species